AUUUGUGAGGCAGUCCUAGUUUUUAGCGGUGGCUUACGCACCCCUUGGUAUUGGCAGGACUUGGCAUUCCAGGUCAUUCAUUCUUGCUGCAAAGAUUCUUGAGCUUCAGAUGCUUUCUGGGCCCUGUGCUAGGUAAGGGUCAAAAACACGACGCUAUUUGGGCUCAUUCUUGAAGGAGCUCAAUGCGUCUGAGGGUCCGCCCUGCGGCCUUGCGGCAUGGCUUCCUCUGAGAGGAGGACCUAGAAUGAGGAGCUAUACGGAACGCCCGGGUUUCCUCAACAUCAACCCUCCCCUGCUGCAGACGUGAAAGGAACCCACUGGGUUAUUGCGAACGUUCCCUGCACUCCUUUUCUCCCAGGGACAAUAGGACGUCUGAGUAAGGGAGACCUACUCACAAUUGCCCAUGGGCAUGCCACCUUCCGUGUGACUCAGUGAUGCACAAUGCAUGAGGGAGGAUUCAUCUCCUGUGGGACACUUACCGAGCCCUUUCAUGGCCUUCCUCAGGCUCUGGGCAUCUUCAGCAGCGUUGAAUCCUGAAGAAGCUUUGAUGGUACCUCCUUUGGUUGCCUGAGUACACAGAGAAUCAUGUGACUGAGAGGUAGCACCUUACCAACAUGAAGGCAUCCCAUUCAGCAAACAUUUGCUGAGCACCUCCCAUGGCCCAGACACUAUUCCAGGCGGUGGGGACACAGCUGUAACCAUGAAAAUUGAGGCUACUGCUCCCAGGGAGCUGAUGCUCUAGUUCAGGGGACGCUGACAGUAAACAAGCCAGGAAAUAAAUAUUCUAUAUAGUGCCUGGUGGUGAGAAGUGCUACAAAGCAGACAGAGAUGUCCCAGAGGGGCCACUCUGAGGAAUGAUGUUUAGGCUGACAGCUGAAUGACGUGGAACAGCUGACCAUACAAAGAUGGAAGGAAAGUGUUACAGUAAGAAGAAACAGCUACUACAAAGGCCCUGAGGCUGGAACUAGCUCCUAAGGAGAGCAGGACAGAGGCCAGUGUGGCUCAAGGACAAGGAUGGGAUGGAAACCAAGACCAUCCCCAAAGGAGACUCAUAACUACCCAGUUACCAUCAGAAUGUAACCCCCACACUGAAUGGAAGAUUCUAAGAAUAACUUGUUGAUUGCACAACUGGCCCUAAUCAGCACUGCCCACAAGCUGAUCAUGCACCAAGACACUUACCCAUCAUUUUACCCUAUAUGAACUUUUUUCACCAAGCAAUCAGAAAGCCCAGGUUUUUUAGCAUGUGCUACCCAUCCUCUUUGCUUGCUGCUUUGCAAUAAAACACCUUAUCACUGUGAGAUAGGGUGACCCCCACUUUCAUAACAUACACAAUUCGCUUCUGUGAAACUGCUUGCUGUGU